GGACUUUCCACUUGGGCGGCGCCAUGUUGUCUGCUCCUUACUAUCCACGUGGCUGGCAAAGAGAAGGGAGCAUGAAGCUGUCAUUUUGAACAUGCCUAGUCCCAGAGAUGCAUGCGGGGAGAACUCUAUGUGAAGGUGAAGGCAGAGAUGCUUCAUUAAGCCAAGGAAUGCCAAAGGUGGCCAGCAAACCACCAGAAACCAGGCAAGAUGCAUGGAACAGAUUCUGUCUCGUAGCUCUCAGAAGGAACCAACCCUGCCAUCGCACAUUGAUUUUGGACUUCUGGCUUCCAGAACUGUGUGGGUUUGUCAUCCAGCGAGGAGAUGAGGAGAAAGUGCUGGGCCACUCCACUGGAGAAAUUGGAGACCUUUCUUCUGGCUGUGUCUAGGGAGCCAAGAGAGUGAGAGAAAACUCUUUGAGGAAUUGGCUCAGACAGAGGAGGGAGACAAGGUACCACGUUAACAACAGGACUGAAAUUUCGCCCAGAGUACAGAGAGCUCAGCAGAUUCCUGGCAUUUCUGAAAAACAAUCCCUUGGGGUUGAAUCAAAUUAAAUGCUUUAGGAAAAAAAGUUAUGAUAUUCAAGAGAAAUAAUGUGGCUUAACAACUGAAGUUCCACUUCUGAUGGACCUGAGAAGCCUUGCAAAUGACGUUUGAUUUUCACACUCUUUGAAGAGACAACAGAUUUCAUUGUGCAGGGGAGAAGCUGCCCAAGUGGACUUCUGGAGUUCUGACUACUUUGGGAGAUCCAUUGACUGAAAUGGAAGAAAAUAAUUCUAAAAUUUGUAUGGAACCACAAAGACUGCUAAUAGCCAAAGCUAGUUUGAACAAGAAGAACAAAUCUGGAGGCCUCACACUUUCUGAUUUCAAAAUAUAUUACAAAGCUACAGUAGUAGCAUAAAAACAGAUGCAUAAACCAAUGGGUAGAAUAGACAGCCCAGAAAUAAGCCCACUUACAUGUGGUCAGCUAAGUUUUAACAAGGGUGCUAAGAAUACAUAAUAGGCAAAUGAUAGUCUCUUCAAUCAAGUAUGGAGAAAAUUGGAUAUCUACAUGCAAAAUGAUGAAACUGGACCAUUUUCUUGCACCAAAAAAUCAACUAAAAUGGGCUAAAGGCUUAAUUGUAAGACCUGCAAUCAUAAAACUCCUAGAAAAAAGCAUAAGGGAAAAGCUUCUUGAUAUUGGCCUUGGCUAUAAUUUUAUGAAUGUGACACUAAAAGCACAGAGAACAAAGGCAAAAUAGAAGACAGGGACUACAGCAAACUAAAAAGCUUCUGCACAGCAAAGGAAACAGUCAAGAAAAUGAAAAAGCAUCUAAUGGAAUGGGAGACAAUAUCGGCAAACCAUACAACUGAUAAAGGGUUAGUAUUAAAAAUACAUAAAGAACGCCGACAGCUCAAUAGCAAAAACCAAAUCAAACCAAACCAAGCAAGCAACCAAUCAAACCAAAAGCCCCAAAUAACCCUUGGGCAAAGGAACUGAAUAGACACUUUUCCAAAGAAGAUAUAUAAGUGGCCAACAGGCGUAUGAAAGUGUUCCACAUCUCUCAUCAUCAGGAAAAUUCAAAUCAAGACCAUAAUGAGAUAUUGCCUCAUCCCUGUUAGAAUGGCUAUUACAAAAAAACCCGGAAGAUAGGUGUUGGCAAAGAUUUGGGGAAAAGGAAAUUCAUAUACACUGUCGGUGGGAAUUGGUGCAGCCACCAUGAAAAACAGUAUGGAGGUUCCUCAAAAAAUUAAAAGUAGAACUAUCAUAUAUAUGAUCUGGCAGUCCCUCUCCUGAGUAUGUAUUCAGAGGAAUUGAAACAAGGAUCUUGAAGAGAUAUCUGCCCUCCCACGGUAAUUGCAGCAUUACCUCAAUAGCCAAGACACAGAAGCAACCUAAAUGUCCAUGGAUGGAUGAAUGGAUGAAUAAAAUGUGGUCUGUUUUUGUGAGAAGGUGGCCAAGAGGAAUCACCAUCCAAGGCACAAGUACUUGGAGCCACAGGACCUUUUAAACACUUCUGCUCAAUUAUGAUGACACAUACUGAGACAGGGUGGUCACAGGAGAAUAAAAAUUCCAGACAGCAGUUUCACAUGUCUAGAGGCUAUGGGCCGAGAAGAGCCUGAAAAACUACAUGUGGACCAAGCUGGCUAUGACCGACUUGACCCCACAUGGUGCUGGAUUCCACCUAGGUUUCUCCCCGGACCUCGUUAUAUGCUCAUUAAUAU
rnacentral:lncRNA from 10 species